AUUGAACGCUGGCGGCAGGCCUAACACAUGCAAGUCGAACGAGUGGCGGACGGGUGAGUAAUAUCUGGGAACCUGCCUAAUGGAGGGGGAUAACUACUGGAAACGGUAGCUAAUACCGCAUACCAUCAGAGGUGCCCAGAUGGGAUUAGCUAGUUGGUGGGGUAACGGCUCACCAAGGCGACGAUCCGUAGCUGGUCUGAGAGGAGGACCAGCCACACUGGGACUGAGACACGGUCCAGACUCCUACGGGAGGCAGCAGUGGGGAAUAUUGGACAAUGGGCGCAAGCCUGAUGCAGCCAUGCCGCGUGUAUGAAGAAGGCCUUCGGGUUGUAAAGUACUUUCAGCGGGGAGGCGUUACCUGCAGAAGAAGCACCGGCUAACUCCGUGCCAGCAGCCGCGGUAAUAC
rnacentral:rRNA from 1 species